UUUAUUUUCCUCCUUUUUCCUUGUGCAGAUUGCAGAAUAUAUAGAUUUUGUCCUGUUCAAAUCUUUCUUUAUUUUUUAAUAGGGACUGUCACAAUUUCUUGGGAUUGCCAAGCACAUUACCCUUUACCUUUUAUUAUGUAUAUAUAUUCUACGAUCAUCUUCAUGCUUUGCACAAAAAAGUUGUAACCCUAGACAUCUGAGUCCCUAUAUACCUCAUCUAUUUUGAAGCUGAGCUUUUUGCUUUUUCUUUUUGCUAGAGAGCCUAGGGAUUACAUCGUGCAAAGUAUUUCCAUCAUCAUGGGUUUGACAAUGGCAUGAUUUGAUAUUACAAAAAACGAUGUAUUUUGGGGAUCUGUGUGAUGUUUAUCUUGGUACUUUGAAGUUUGGAGCCCUUGAGAGGAAAUGGCAAAAAAAAAAGAAUCAUUGACUUUAAAGUUUGAUGCAUUACUAAUUUCACGGAUGGUUAGAAGCAUCCAUCUUGUACUGCGCUUGUGUGGAACAGUUUCUUUAACUGUUUCAUACUUGUCUAGAUUGUUCAUGCAUUUGUACAUCUUGUACUGUUGACCAUGUUUACAGUUGAAACAUUUCUUUAGAUGUUCAUUCAAAACUUCAACAGCACUUCAAAUCAGUUCCUCCUCUGUCUUUCUUUCUUUCUAUCUUUUUUACCCUAAUUAUUUUAUUUUUUUGUCAUGUUUGUCAGUUUGUUGGGAAAAAAAUAGGUCAUUUUCCCAAGGUAGGAUGAGAGUCCCACUUGAGAAUCUUGGGCACAAGUCACAAUAUCAUUAUUCUUUCUUGAAUUCAAGCCUACUGUGGAAACUUGUCUUAUUAUCGAUGGUAAUUGAAGGAAUGAUGAGCUCUAAUGCCAAUUGCUUAACACGUUUUAAUUUCUGUAAUUUGACAGGCAAAAGUGGAUGAAUGAAUCUGAGAUAACAAGCUUAAUUUGUGUACAGCAAAAAGGCUCAUGGAAUCCGUUCAAUGGCAAUGGAUAUGGACAGCUGAUCUGAAUUGGAGGGAAACUGCUUCUGACCAGUUGUUAACUGCCCACAUUCAGGUAAGAAUAUCAACGCACUACGAAACGAUAAGUCCACUCAAAUACAUUGAAGAAUACUUGUGUGUUAGUACACUUUGAAUUUUCCUACACAUUGCUAUGGUAUCCAACGUCUUUGACAUGAUAUGACUAUUCCAACAUGGAAGCUAAGUGUGUUGGUCACGACGGUUGAAGAUCACAGUGGUAGACAUUCCUUCUUCAUCCACUAACAAAGCUUAUCCAAAUUUUUCAUUCAUAUAUAUCGGUUAACUUUUGUUGUUUACCUCCACUCUUUCUUUUUAUAUAAUGCUAUAAUAGUGCAAAUUUUUCUA